rnacentral:lncRNA from 1 species
AAUAUUUUCAUUUCCGCCGGUUGGCGACAAAAUCAGUGAAAAUAUUUCUUUAAAUUUGACCAUGGUUCUCGAGACCGCUCGAGACUAAUUUAAAUGCGCUUAUUCCAUAUUGAGGAUCGCCAAGGUGCGCAGCAAACUAACGAGAUGGAAUCAGUUGCGAAAUCAUUGAUUGCGCAAUGAGCGCGACGAAAGACGGGCGAAGAUGAUGAAGGUAGUUCUUUUCAAGGAAGUAAAUUCAGACCAACGCCCUGAUUGCUAACGUAUAUAUAAGCCUGCAAUCAAUUGCAGAAUUGUGUGUUGUGCUAACCAAGUUUCCAUUCUUAACACAAACAAUAUGCGUUUCCUCGUCGUUUUCACUUUGCUUAUUGUCGCCUCCGCAUCGGCAGCACCCGCUUCCGCUGGUAGUCUGACUCAUUUACUGGGAAUAGAAUCCGCCUACAAACCUCUUCAAGUUGCAUACCGGCGGUACGACUUCACCAGCAAUCCUAGAUCGCCUCUCAAAUUCUUUCAUUCUGCGGAAUCCGCGGAAUCACGGGAACUGUACUUCGACUGACAAAAACUGAUAACAAAAGAAGAAAAAAUGAAGUACGUCCUUGCCCUCCUUCACGGCCUUCGUCCCAAUCCGAUUUUCUAGGCUACUCCGGCACGCCCAGCAUAACCUUUUUCUCAUAAAAGUGAAUAAGGUUGAUAAGCAAAUCAGAACAGCCUCUUUGUUCCCAUCUCAGAUCCAUUUCCCGUUUCUGUGUGUUAAUGCAGAGCUGUCAAAUGAUGGAAAACAUUCAUGUCUUGUCUUGAAAUGCAAAUAAAAAUCCCAUUUGGCCAUUUA